GGGGACGCGUAUCGGAUUACUGGGCGUAAAGCGCACGCAGGCGGUCUGUUAAGUCAGAUGUGAAAUCCCCGGGCUUAACCUGGGAACUGCAUUUGAAACUGGCAGGCUUGAGUCUCGUAGAGGGGGGUAGAAUUCCAGGUGUAGCGGUGAAAUGCGUAGAGAUCUGGAGGAAUACCGGUGGCGAAGGCGGCCCCCUGGACGAAGACUGACGCUCAGGUGCGAAAGCGUGGGGAGCAAACAGGAUUAGAUACCCUGGUAAA
rnacentral:rRNA from 1 species